rnacentral:lncRNA from 1 species
CUAAGCAGCUGUCUUAUAGGGCAGCAAGCCAAGUACUAAGGUAGAAUAAAAAUGACAUUAGAUGUCCUGGACUCUCUAUGGUUGAGCUUGUGUGUGGAGCCCCAAGCUUGUCUCUAGUAGAGGAUGGUGUCCUACUAGGGGAGGGGACAGCUAGGGAUUGGCAGUGAGGACUUUCUUAGG